rnacentral:rRNA from 1 species
UGCAAGUCGAACGAAGUAGCAAUACUUAGUGGCAGACGGGUGAGUAACAUGUAGGUAUCUACCCUUUGGUGAGGAAUAACACGAGGAAACUUGUGCUAAUACCUCAUAAGUCUUUACGGAGAAAGCUUUAUGCGCCGAAGGAUGAGCCUGCACUUGAUUAGUUUGUUGGUGGGGUAAAGGCCUACCAAGACUUUGAUCUAUAGCUGAUCUGAGAGGAUGAUCAGCCACAUUGGGACUGAGACACGGCCCAAACUCCUACGGGAGGCAGCAGUAGGGAAUAUUGCACAAUGGAGGAAACUCUGAUGCAGCGAUGCCGCGUGAGUGAAGAAGGCCUUUGGGUUGUAAAGCUCUUUCGUCGGGGAAGAAAAUGACUGUACCCGAAUAAGAAGGUCCGGCUAACUUCGUGCCAGCAGCCGCGGUAAUACGAAGGGACCUAGCGUAGUUCGGAAUUACUGGGCUUAAAGAGUUCGUAGGUGGUUAAAAAAGUUGGUGGUGAAAUCCCAGAGCUUAACUCUGGAACUGCCAUCAAAACUUUUUAGCUAGAGUAUGAUAGAGGAAAGCAGAAUUUCUAGUGUAGAGGUGAAAUUCGUAGAUAUUAGAAAGAAUACCAAUUGCGAAGGCAGCUUUCUGGAUCAUUACUGACGCUGAGGAACGAAAGCAUGGGUAGCGAAGAGGAUUAGAUACCCUCGUAGUCCAUGCCGUAAACGAUGUGUGUUAGACGUUGGAAAUUUAUUUACAGUGUCGCAGCGAAAGCGUUAAACACACCGCCUGGGGAGUACGACCGCAAGGUUAAAACUCAAAUGAAUUGACGGGGACCCGCACAAGUAGUGGAGCAUGUGGUUUAAUUCGAAGAUACGCGCAGAACCUUACCAACACUUGACAUGUUCGUCGCGACUCUAAGAGAUUAGAGUUUUCGG